rnacentral:rRNA from 1 species
UACGAAGGGGGGUAGCGUUGUUCGGAAUUACUGGGCGUAAAGCGCACGCAGGCGGAUUGAUAAGUCAGGGGUGAAAUCCCGGGGCUUAACCUCGGAAUUGCCUUUGAUACUGUCUGUCUUGAGUCCGGGAGAGGUGAGUGGAAUUCCUAGUGUAGAGGUGAAAUUCGUAGAUAUUAGGAAGAACACCAGUGGCGAAGGCGGCUCACUGGCCCGGAACUGACGCUCAUGUGCGAAAGCGUGGGGAGCAAACAGG